UGAAAACAGCUGAGUGAUGAUGCCACUUAGCAUUUUAAAGGAGUACUUAUAAUCACCGCAAUAAUGUUGUCGUGUAAUGCUUAUUGGUAUAUCACAUGCUUUUUAAUACCAUUUGUCUUGUUAUAAGAUACUGUAAUAUUCCACAGCCUGCAAAAAAUAAGAUUAAAUAAGUGGCACCUCCGAGGCUGCGACAAUGCAGCCGUCUGUUCUUCACGUCAGCUACACGCAUAGCAGCACACCCGCGAGUCCCAUACAUUUUCAACUCCUCUGACGGGGAAACAAAGCCUUAAAAUGCAUAUGUGUAUAGAACAUUUCCUACUUAGAAUUGCACGUUCCUUCACCUCUUUCAGUAUUUGCAGAAACACGCGUUACACCUUUUAUACAGUGGACAACAAGCAAAACAACACCUACGUGUUCUGAAACGCUUCAUUUGUCUCACCACAUUUUUUUUUCUUUUCAAAUGAUGAUAGGUUCUGAAUAGCCGGGUUUUAAAUGCAUUUCCCCUGUUAAUAAUAUAGAAAUCGUGUUAAUCUGUCACUAGAACCAUAAAAACAUCUUUUGAAAACCUGUGCAACUUCAUUUAGAGUCUUAUCAGUUUAGUGGAGGUGCGGCGCAGAAGUGUUUCAGAAUAGGGAUCAUUGUCUCGUUUUCCCCCAACCUGGCGUCCCCGCUCGGCCCCUUCCACGACUCGCAGCGAGAGAGAGAGGUCGAGGUGCGGUGGUCUUGUGGCGGAAGCCUGAAGGAGGCGGUGAAGGAGUGAAGGUGUGAAGUGUGUGGCUUCCACUUCACCAUCCUAUGAACAGCCUGCAGGAAUCUCUAUCAACACCUGCUUCUGCAAUAUUGGCAUCUGGUUAUCAAAUAGUGCUGUCACGCUGGGCCUGACAUACUCCAUUGCAAUUGGGGAAUCAAGCUUCACCAGGAAGAGAGGCCGAGCAUCACGACCUUCAAGCCUUCAAGCCCUAUAAGAGGUGUUAAGUAUUGUCAGGACAAAACAGAGGGCCUGGUACAAGAGUUUUCAUUGCAAUCAAGGAAGAGUCAAGUUGCAGUAAGAAGAGUGUGGCAAGAAUUUUAAGCAGGAGGAAGACUGUCAAGCAGUUGACGGCAGGAAGAACGCGUGAAAUUCCCUUAAGUCGUGGCAGGACCAACAGGCAACCUUCAACACCUGCAGAGGCACAAGAGUUGUGGGCAGUUUCACCAGGAAGAGUUUGCUCCUCACUCAAGUUGACACAAAGACACAAGAAUUUGCAAGUGUUGUUACUCCGAGACCCUGCUGCAAAUGUUCUCCAAUCCACUCCAGUCUGGGAAGGAAGAAUGUAGGAAGUCCCUCUCUUCUGUACUCAACAAGCACCACCACCACCACCACCACCACCUUCAUUCAGGCUUGGGACAAGUUUUGUACAUUCCAGCACUUCAGUAUUAAAGAAAACAAGUGCCAUGUUUAUUAUCCUGUUGUGUAUUUAUUCACUUAACAUUCACAGUAAAACAAUAAACAUUCAGUAUUC